CCUACGGGAGGCAGCAGUAAGGAAUAUUGGUCAAUGGACGCAAGUCUGAACCAGCCAUGCCGCGUGAAGGAUUAAGGUCCUCUGGAUUGUAAACUUCUUUUAUAUGGGACGAAAACAGAUCUUUCUAGGUCCUUUGACGGUACCAUAUGAAUAAGCACCGGCUAACUCCGUGCCAGCAGCCGCGGUAAUACGGAGGGUGCAAGCGUUAUCCGGAUUCACUGGGUUUAAAGGGUGCGUAGGCGGGUAGGUAAGUCAGUGGUGAAAUCCUGGAGCUCAACUCCAGAACUGCCAUUGAUACUAUCUAUCUUGAAUAUUGUGGAGGUAAGCGGAAUAUGUCAUGUAGCGGUGAAAUGCUUAGAUAUGACAUAGAACACCCAUUGCGAAGGCAGCUUACUACGCAUAUAUUGACGCUGAGGCACGAAAGCGUGGGGAUCAAACAGGAUUAGAUACCCUGGUAGUCCACGCCCUAAACGAUGGAUACUCGACAUACGCGAAUACACAGUGUGUGUCUGAGAGAAGACAUUAAGUAUACCCACCCGUACGGAAGGUACGUUACGCGAAGAAGUAGAAACGUACGAAGAAGUUAGUACGGACGUUAGGAGACGNGCCGACGGACGACGACGAGGGGAGGUUAGG
rnacentral:rRNA from 1 species